GCUGAGUUGAAAGAAGAAGGAGACAAAGCUUUGCAUAAAGAUGAUUACAAUGCGGCAUUAGAAUUCUACAAUGCGGCCAUGAUGCUUGACCUUGAAAAUCUUGAUGCAAUCCUGAUUGGCAAUAGGGGGUAUUGCCGGCUUCUACUGGGUAGAGACGGUGCUUUAAAUGAUGCCCAUAUGUGCAGGAAAAUGCGGCCUGACUGCGCAGACUCAUGCUGGCUGGAAGGCUACUCAUAUUUGCAAGUAAAGGAGUACGAAAAAGCAUGUGAUUCAUUUCUUGAUGGUCUCAAAUUGAAGCCAGGAUUUGUUGGAAUC